rnacentral:lncRNA from 1 species
CUUUCCUAGGGUUUCUAUCUCCAGUGUUGCCUCACUUUGAGUUUUCUUUAUUGUGUCUACUUCCAUUUUUAGGUCUAGUAUGGUUUUGUUCAUUUCCAUCACCUGUUUGAAUGUUUUUUUCCUCUUUUUCUGUAAGGACUUCUACUUGUUUGAUUGUGUUUUCCUGUUUUUCUUUAAGGACUUGUAACACUUUAGCAGUGUUCUCCUGUAUUUCUUUAAGUGAGUUAUUAAAGUCCUUCUUGAUGUCCUCUACCAUCAUCAUGAGAUAUGCUUUUAAAUCUGGGUCUAGGUUUUCAGGUGUGUUGGGGUGCCCUGGACUGGGCGAAGUGGGAGUGCUGGGUUCUGAUGAUGGUAUAGAAUUAUUCUCUACCCUCAAAAUGAAGUCAAAAGUCCAAAGACAAUCUGAGAAAACACUCUUUUGCGUCUUAUGGAGUAACUCAGGACAGGAUACAGCCUGGGGAAACAAGCAAGAGGAGCUUUUCAGAGACUGAAAAAUAAGAGAAGGAGUCCUCCAAGAACAAUACACCUGCAAGGAAGAAAAUGAAGUUUGUUAGGCUAGAGCAUAACAUAGGCAUGAAAGAACUGGAGUAGUGAGAUUGUCGUUGGAGGCAAGAUACAGGACACAAAUAAUCUGCGAGCGUUUUAUUUGCAAUACAAACAUCACAGUUGCUGAAUACCAAACAUUUAAAGCUAUUUUACUUUAACCUACUUUAACACAUGCCUUUAAGAAAAAAAUGAGUGCCUUUAUAUAUAAUGUCUUUAUAGUCAGUUAUUAAAUAUAUUCCCCCAUUAUCCUC